rnacentral:lncRNA from 1 species
ACAAUAUUUUCACCAAUGAUAUAGAAAUUAUAGAAUCAAGCUCAAAUGGUUUAAUUUUUAGCGAUAUCUCGGAUCAUUUGCCGAUAUUUCAUAUACGAAACUCGAAAACGUAUCAUGAAAAAAUUCAAAAAAAUGAAUUUACCUGUAAAAGGAUUAUCAAUGAUGCCAAUAUUCAAUCGUUUACAAACACAAUCAAAAAUGUAUCAUGGGAUAAUGUACUUUCUAAAAACAACACGGCAG